GAUGAACGCUGGCGGCGUGCCUAAUACAUGCAAGUCGAGCGAACAGACGAGGAGCUUGCUCCUCUGACGUUAGCGGCGGACGGGUGAGUAACACGUGGAUAACCUACCUAUAAGACUGGGAUAACUUCGGGAAACCGGGGCUAAUACCGGAUAAUAUAUUGAACCGCAUGGUUCAAUAGUGAAAGACGGUUUUGCUGUCACUUAUAGAUGGAUCCGCGCCGCAUUAGCUAGUUGGUAAGGUAACGGCUUACCAAGGCAACGAUGCGUAGCCGACCUGAGAGGGUGAUCGGCCACACUGGAACUGAGACACGGUCCAGACUCCUACGGGAGGCAGCAGUAGGGAAUCUUCCGCAAUGGGCGAAAGCCUGACGGAGCAACGCCGCGUGAGUGAUGAAGGUCUUCGGAUCGUAAAACUCUGUUAUUAGGGAAGAACAAAUGUGUAAGUAACUAUGCACGUCUUGACGGUACCUAAUCAGAAAGCCACGGCUAACUACGCG
rnacentral:rRNA from 1 species